UACGAAGGGGGCUAGCGUUGUUCGGAAUUACUGGGCGUAAAGCGUGCGCAGGCGGCUGCUCAAGUCAGGGGUGAAAUCCUGGAGCUCAACUCCAGAACUGCCUUUGAUACUGAGGAUCUUGAGUUCGGGAGAGGUGAGUGGAACUGCGAGUGUAGAGGUGAAAUUCGUAGAUAUUCGCAAGAACACCAGUGGCGAAGGCGGCUCACUGGCCCGAUACUGACGCUGAGGCACGAAAGCGUGGGGAUCAAACAGG
rnacentral:rRNA from 1 species